CUAAGUUGCUUUUUUUCUGCCUUUCUCUAUUUCAUUCUCUUCAACUCGGAGUGAUUUCAUUAGUUCUGCCUGCAUUUCAUUGGACAGAGAUGAGUCAUAUUACCAUAUCUAAUUAUUAAUCUAAGACAGAAUGAGAAAGGAAGUCUAGCUAUGAGCUCAGAAAGAAAGACUUGGCCUGAAUUAUUUCUUGCAGAAGAUCCAAAAACCUUCUGUUGGGGUCUGAAUUGGGACUCCUUUCCUGUAGCAUCUUUCUGGUGACCACUGAAGGGACUAUAGUGCAGAAAACCCCCACCCAAAGGCUAACUUUCGAUGCAGAACCCAUGGAAACAGAAGGGAAACUAAAUGUUAGAAUCUGAUCAUGUGAAGCUUUGGUCACCAAAGAAAUGAAUCAUAAUGCUAAUAAUGAGUUCCUGACUCAACCCUGAGGAUCUACCAAAAUUUUCCUCCUUUGUUCACCAGCUGAUGCCAGGUGUGGAGGGGCAGAAGGAAGAAGCAAAGUGGAGUAGGAAGUGUGAGAAUGUGCAUGUAAUCUACGCCUAUGCAGCACAUCCAGGCACGCCAGCUUCAACUCGCUUCAUCAUGAGAGACCAAAAAUAAACAUAAUGAAAUAGAGGACAUUCUCGCGCCUCAAAAAAUUGAACUAUCUUAAAAGGAAUAUUGUUAUUGCCUCCAGUUUACUUUUGAGAAAUGUGAGUCACAAAAAGUAAAACAACGUACUCAAGGUCACACCGCUGAGAAGUGUGUUAGGUGAGACAUCUUGAAGCUCUUCCUUCUCAUGCUGGAAAGGCUGUCAGAAAGUUCAAGUCCUCCUCUUGACAUAGUACAUGCCUAUUUGCUCAUUGGGAUAGGCUAACCUUUUCAAGCAAUGUGCGGCACCCCUUAGCUUCAAUAAAGUGUUCAAUGUAAGAAGAAUAUGCUCUGUAUCCAUAA
rnacentral:lncRNA from 1 species